GCCGGGCGUGGUGGCACGUGCCUGUAGUCCCAGCUACUUGGGAGGCUGAGGUGGAAGGAUCGCUUGACCAGGAGUUCUGGGUGGCAGCGAGCUAUGCCGAUCAGGUGUCCGCACUAAGUUCGGCAUCAAUAUGGUGACCUCCCGGGAGCGGGGGACCACCAGGUUGCCUAAGGAGGGUUGAACCGGACCAGGUUGGAGAAGUGGGAUAGGAGAUAUUAAUAAUAGGGGGGUAGAGGUAGGGGAUGGGUAUCCCCCUAUUAAUUAGUAUCUCAAGAGUCUUCCUGCCAC
ensembl:misc_RNA Metazoa_SRP Metazoan signal recognition particle RNA